rnacentral:rRNA from 1 species
AUGAACCGCAUGCGGGCACGUCUGCAGCCUAGAAUUCGUGAUCAAGAUGCUGGGGGGAGUGUAGCAAGGGGAACUGCUAGAGAUCCAUCUAUGCUACGUAGCAGGGGAGAGACCCUGAGAGCAGAGCUGACAGAACUUGAGGCCCAGGCGAAAGCAUACCUAGAAUAUGCGCAAAUCCAUGGAAUUUUCCCGCAUAGGGAAGGAACUUCUAAUGAUGAUCCAGUGAUUGUUGACGAGGAGAGACGUGAGCGUCUAAGGUCCUUAUCUGCGGCUGCACUUGCUAUUGUGGAGCAAGCUAUGGAUAAUCCAGAAGUUUUCGAAGGCAUAUUUGAUCAAGCUAGAAGACUUCCUUCAAAUGUUGGAGCUGACGGAGGCGCCAAAGACAAACAUGCAUUUGGCAACAGCAGAUCCAAUGGUAACAACCAAGAACAGAUACACUGGGCAGAACUAGAGAGGGACAGCCAAGAUGACCAACAUGAAAAUGAAGGUGAAGCUGCAUGGGAUGUACUAACUGACGGCGAAGUUAGGGACAAGAAAUAG